rnacentral:rRNA from 1 species
UACGGAGGGUGCAAGCGUUAUCCGGAUUCACUGGGUUUAAAGGGUGCGUAGGUGGGUUGAUAAGUCAGUGGUGAAAUCCCCGAGCUUAACUUGGGAACUGCCAUUGAUACUAUUGAUCUUGAAUACCGUGGAGGUCAGCGGAAUAUGUCAUGUAGCGGUGAAAUGCUUAGAUAUGACAUAGAACACCAAUUGCGAAGGCAGCUGGCUACGCGAAUAUUGACACUGAUGCAC